CUUUCAACAACGGAUCUCUUGGCUCUGGCAUCGAUGAAGAACGCAGCGAAAUGCGAUAAGUAAUGUGAAUUGCAGAAUUCAGUGAAUCAUCGAAUCUUUGAACGCACAUUGCGCCCCUUGGUAUUCCGGGGGGCAUGCCUGUCCGAGCGUCAUUG
rnacentral:rRNA from 1 species